rnacentral:rRNA from 1 species
UACGUAGGGUCCGAGCGUUGUCCGGAUUUAUUGGGCGUAAAGAGCUCGUAGGCGGCUCGGUAAGUCGGAUGUGAAAACUCGGGGCUCAACCCCGAGACGCCAUCCGAUACUGCUGUGGCUUGAGUCUGGUAGGGGAACACGGAAUUCCUGGUGUAGCGGUGAAAUGCGCAGAUAUCAGGAGGAACACCAAUGGCGAAGGCAGUGUUCUGGGCCAGUACUGACGCUGAGGAGCGAAAGCGUGGGUAGCAAACAGG